rnacentral:lncRNA from 10 species
UACAGUGGUGCCAUCACGGCUCACUGCACGGGGUCAUCACGGCUCCCUGCAGCCUCAACUACCUGGGCUCAGGUGAUCCUUUUGAGUAGCUGAGGCUACAGGUGUGUGCCACCAUACCCAGCUAAUUAUUUUAUUUUUUUCUAGAGACAGGGUCUUGAUAUGUUGCCCAGGCUGGUCUUGAACUCCUGGCCUCAAGCAGUCUUCCCACGUCACCCUCCCAAAAUGUUAGGAUUACAGGUCCCCGAAAAACGCAUAGGCUGUAUGCAUUGGGAAGAUGAUGCCCAAUGGGUAAACAAUUUGUAAACUUGCAUAAGGACUCUUUGCGAACACAGGAGGUUCCCUUUUUCCUACAUAUAGGAAAAUGUUCACCACAGGCUUAGUUCGCCAUUGCCUAAAUCAUACAACGACUAUUAUAAAUAGCAAGGAGCAAGUGAAAAUGCUGGUCUCUUAUUGGAAUUGGUGAACUUGGCUGCUGGAGCCUUUCUUCCAUUUGUGAUGGCUUUGCCAUCUGGAUGUGUAACAUCCCACCAGGCCAAAUGCAAAAGGAUGUGGCUGUUGAGGAGGGCAUGGCAUUCUUCUUGACUGACACAACCACAUGCUCUUCUUGAAGUCACACUCCCUUGAUCUUCCUCCUAGAGAAGGAAGAUCUAUGCCUCUCUUCCAGACCUUUGGCGAAUGUUGAUGGUUUGGCAGCUUGACAAGGUAAGCAGCUUGAACCAGGUGGGCUGAACCAAGAACAAGCAGGACAUACACUUUGUCUCAUUAGCAUGCAAACCCCAAAGGAAAACAGCGAUCAAAUUGCUAGGUGGCUAAGUCCGCAUGUAGUAUCUAGCCCUCGAGUUUAAAUAUUAUGUCUAGCCUAAUUUCCUAACAAAGUAUUUCUGAAUGGAACCUUGCACAAAACAUUUUCUGGCUACGCAAACUUUACAUGUAACUUUGUUAUGAGAGAUAAAAUAUUCCUUUUUUCUUUAUUCACCAAAAUUUCACCACGGGUGCUAUGGGAAAGGGAGUAUUCAGGGUUCACUGAGACGCCCUAGAAGUGGGUACACCAUGGUCCUUGCCUUCAAAGUUUCUUAUUGCCCAAGAAAUUACUUAUUACAUUUCUCUAGAUAUCAAUUGUCUAUCGAAUGCAUACAAUUUGAGAAUUGGAUUACACAUUUUGAGGUCACUUUGUUCUUCUUUCCUUUUCUUUCUUAUUUUUAGAGACGGUCUCACUCUGUUGCCCAGGCUGGAGUGCAGUGGCACAAUCAGAGCUCACUGUAACCUCAAACUCCUGGGCUCAAGCGAUCCUCCUGCCUUGGCCUGCCAAAGCUCUGGGAUGACAGGCGUGAGCUAAGGUCAUUUCUGUGACUCUAGAACUCUUGCAUCACACAUACCCUCCACAGAGCACAAAGCUAAUGUGAAAGGUUAUUGGCAAAAUCAUUUAAUAAGGCAGGAGAUGGCUUGAGGUCAGGAGUUCAAGGCUGCAGUGAGCUGUGUUCUUGCCACUGCAC